AUUGAACGCUGGCGGCAGGCUUAACACAUGCAAGUCGAGCGGGCGAGGUUGCUUAGGUAACUGAGCUAGCGGCGGACGGGUGAGUAAAGCUUAGGAAUCUGCCUAUUAGUGGGGGACAACAUUCCGAAAGGGAUGCUAAUACCGCAUACGUCCUACGGGAGAAAGCAGGGGGAUCACUUGUGACCUUGCGCUAAUAGAUGAGCCUACGUCGGAUUAGCUAGUUGGUGGGGUAAAGGCCUACCAAGGCGACGAUCUGUAGCGGGUCUGAGAGGAUGAUCCGCCACACUGGGACUGAGACACGGCUCAGACUCCUACGGGAGGCAGCAGUGGGGAAUAUUGGACAAUGGGGGGACCCCUGCUCCAGCCAUGCCGGGUGUGUGAAGAAGGCCUUUUGGUUGUAAAGCACUUUAAGCGAGGAGGAGGCUUACCUGGUUAAUACCUGGGAUAAGUGGACGUUACUCGCAGAAUAAGCACCGGCUAACUCUUUGCCAGCCGCCGCCGUAA
rnacentral:rRNA from 1 species